GCUAUAAUGGCAAAGUGGUUUGAGUGUUGGACUACAACUCUGGAGAUCUGGGUUCAAUUCCCAGUUUGGCC
rnacentral:tRNA from 1 species